rnacentral:rRNA from 1 species
GACGAACGCUGGCGGCGUGCUUAACACAUGCAAGUCGAACGGCAAGGCCCCUUUGGGGGUACUCUUGUGGCCAACGGGCGAAUAACUCGUGAGUAACCUGCCCUCUACUUCGGGAUUACUUCAUGACACUGGGGAUCCUACCUUAUUGGACUCCUUUCUGCUUGGGUGGGGUUGCUAUGUUAUGGGAGUUGUGGCUGGUCUCGCUGCUUAUCAGCUUGAUUGUGGGGUAGUGGGUUAACAAGGCUGUGCCGGGUAACCGGCCUGAGAGGGCGAACGGCGACAUUGGGACUGAGAUACGGCCCGGACGCCGACGGGAGGCAGCAGUAGGGAAUAUUGCACAAUGGGCGGAAGCCUGAGGCAGCAACGCCGCGUGCGGGAUGACUGCCUUCGGGUUGUAAGCCGCUUUCAGCAGGGACGAAGCUUGUGGUGACGGUACCUGCAGAAGAAGCACCGGCUAACUACGUG